rnacentral:rRNA from 1 species
AAGUGCGAUAAGAGGCAGCCUUUAUGCGAGAGUAGUACUAGGUUGGGUGACCUCCUGGGAAGUCCUCGCGUCGCACCCC